rnacentral:rRNA from 1 species
CCUACGGGUGGCUGCAGUGAGGAAUAUUGGUCAAUGGACGGAAGUCUGAACCAGCCAUGCCGCGUGCAGGAAGACGGCUCUAUGAGUUGUAAACUGCUUUUGUACGAGGGUAAACCUGAAUACGUGUAUUCAGCUGAAAGUACUGUACGAAUAAGGAUCGGCUAACUCCGUGCCAGCAGCCGCGGUAAUACGGAGGAUCCAAGCGUUAUCCGGAUUUAUUGGGUUUAAAGGGUGCGUAGGCGGAUUGAUAAGUUAGAGGUGAAAUGCCCGAGCUUAACCCGGGAACUGCCUCUAAUACUGUUGAUCUAGAGAGUAGAUGAGGUAGGCGGAAUGUAUGGUGUAGCGGUGAAAUGCUUAGAGAUCAUACAGAACACCAGUGGCGAAGGCGGCUUUCUGGACUGAAACUGACGCUGAGGCACGAAAGCGUGGGGAGCGAACAGGAUUAGAUACCCUAGUAGUC